UUUUCCGGGAGAGAGCCGUCAGGCCGCCGAAGAUGCAAGCCGGAAGCGUGGUAUGGAAAAAGGUGCUGCGCGGCAGGUGAAACUUUCAGGCAAAAGGACCGGGGAA
rnacentral:ncRNA from 1 species